CCUAGUUGAUCCUACCAAUAAUCAUAUGCUUGUCUCAAAGAUUAAGCCAUGCAUGUGUAAGUAUGAACUAAUUCAAAUUGUGAAACUAUGAAUGGCUCAUUAAAUCAGUUAUAGUUUGCUUGAUGGUAUUUGCUACUUGGAUAAUUAUAGUAAUUCUAAAGCUAAUACAUGCAACAAACCUUGACUUCUAGAAAGGGUGGAUUUAUUAGAUAAAAGGUCGAUACAGGCUUUGCUUAUUGCUUUGAUGAUUUAUGAUAACUCGAUGGAUCGCAUGGCCUUUGUGUCAGUGAUGCAUCAUUCAAAUUUCUACCCUAUCAACUUUUGAUUGUAGGAUAAUGGCCUACUAUGAUAGCAACGGGCAAUGGAAAAUUAGGGUUUGAUUCCAAAAAGAGAGUCUGAGAAAUGGCUACCACAUCUAAGAAAGGUAGCAUGUAUGCAAAUUACCUAAUCCUGACACGGGUAGGUAGUGAAAAUAAAUAACAAUACCAGGCUUUAUGAUUUUGGUAAUUGUAAUGAGUACAAUCUAAAUCCCUUAACAAAGAUCCAUUUGAGGGUAAGUUUACUGCUAGCAACUACAGUAAUUCUAGCUCUGAUAGUGUAUAUUUAAGUUGUUGCAGUUAGAAAGCUCAUAGUUGGAACUAGGAUUAGGUCAAUCGAUCCACCUCAUGGAGAGUGUCGAUGUACUUACUCCUACCAUCGGCAAUGCACUCCUAGUCUUAACUGGCCAGGCCAUUCCUCUAGCACUAUUAUUUUAAAAAAAUUAGAUUGCAUAAAGUAGGCUUGUAUACAUUAGCAUGGGAUAACAUCACAAGAUUUCAAUCCUAUUAUGUUGGCUUCAGAAUUGAAGUAAUGAUUAACCGGGAUAGUUAGGGGCAUUAAUAUUUCAUAAUCAGAGGUAAAAUUCUUGGAUUUAUGAAAGACAAACAACUAUAAAAGCAUUUUCCAACUAUGUUUUCAUUAAUCAAGAAUGAAAUUUGAGGGAUUGAAGAUGAUCAUAUACUAUCCUAGUCUUAACCAUAAAUGAUGUCAACCAAUGAUCAGUGGAUGUUACUUUAAGGACUUCAUCGACACCUUAUAAGAAAUCAAAGUCUUUGAGUUUUAGAGGAGUAUGGUCUUAAGACUGAAACUUAAAGGAAUUGACAAAAAGACACCAUAAAGAGUGGAGCUUGUGGCUUAAUUUGACUCAACAUAGGGAAACUUACCAAGUUCAAUCAUAGUAAAGAUUUACAAACUAAAAGCUCUUUCUUGAUUCUAUAGGUGGUGGUACAUGGCUGUUCUUUGUUGAUAGAGCAAUUUGUUUGGUUAAUUCCACUAACGAAUGAGACCUCAAAAUACUAACUAGCUAUACGGACAUGAUCCUCCAUGGCUACCUUUUUAAAGGGACUACGGUUAUUUAACCCAAAAAACUUUGAGGCAAUAAUAGGUCUAUCAUGCCCUUAUAUGUUUUGAGACACACGUAUGCUACACUGAUGUAUUAAAUGGUUUAUAGCAUUGGCUGAUAGGCUUAGGUAAUCUUUGAAAUUUCAUCAUAAUGGGGAUAGAUCAUUGCAAUUAUUUGUUUUUAAUACAUAAUUCCUAGUAAGUGCAUGUCAUCAGCUUGCAUUGACUAUGUCCCUACCCUUUAUACACAUCACCCAUCACUCCUAUUGAUUGAAUCAUUUGACAAAAUGUUUAGAUCAUGGUGACAUGGAUGGUUCACUGCUCGCAAUGUUGCAAGAAGUCCACUGAACCUUAUCAUUUAUAAGAAGAAAAAGUCACAACAAGGUUUUCGUAAGUGAACUUAUGGAAG
rnacentral:rRNA from 1 species